rnacentral:lncRNA from 1 species
AAUUUGUAAAUGUUUGAGAUAUGGGAUGAUGUUUCGGUUGCCUUGUAGGUUGUGGAAGUUGGAUAUUUGAAGGUGUGUUAGAUGUAAGAUGAUGUGUAGGUUUCCUUGUAGAGUGGGGUUGUUGGGUAUUUGUAGGUAUUUGAGAAGUGGGAGCAUGGACAGUAGACAUUUGUGGACUUGAAGUAGAGAGGAAAGGUGGGAAGUUUGUAUGUGUUUGAGAUAUGGGAUGAUGUGUAGGUUGCUUUGUAAAUAGGGAUUGUUGGAUAUUUGAAGGUGUUUUAGAUGUAAGAUGAUGUGUAGGUUUCCUUGUAGAGUGGGGUUGUUGGGUAUUUGUAGGUAUUUGAGAAGUGGGAGCAUGGACAGUAGACAUUUGUGGACUUGAAGUAGAGAGGAAAGGUGGGAAGUUUGUAUGUGUUUGAGAUAUGGGAUGAUGUGUAGGCUGCUUUGUAGAUAGGGAUUGUUGGAUAUUUGAAGGUGUUUUAGAUGUAAGAUGAUGUGUAGGUUUCAUUGUAGAGUGGGGUUGUUGGGUAUUUGUAGGUAUUUGAGAAGUGGGAGCAUGGACAGUAGACAUUUGUGGACUUGAAGUAGAGAGGAAAGGUGGGAAGUUAGUAUGUGUUUGAGAUAUGGGAUGAUGUGUAGGUUGCUUUGUAGAUAGGGAUUGUUGGGUGUCUGCAGGCCUAGGUGCUUGUAAUCUAGAAGAAUGCGACAAAGUAGUUUUAUGCUUACCUCCCUUAUUUCCCUUAACUUUGUUGAUGCUUAUACCAGCACCUCUUCCAC